rnacentral:rRNA from 1 species
GACGAACGCUGGCGGCGUGCCUAAUACAUGCAAGUAGAACGCUGAAACUUGGUGCUUGCACCGAGCGGAUGAGUUGCGAACGGGUGAGUAACGCGUAGGUAACCUGCCUGGUAGCGGGGGAUAACUAUUGGAAACGAUAGCUAAUACCGCAUAAGAGUAGAUGUUGCAUGACAUUUGCUUAAAAGGUGCAAUUGCACCACUACCAGAUGGACCUGCGUUGUAUUAGCUAGUUGGUGGGGUAACGGCUCACCAAGGCGACGAUACAUAGCCGACCUGAGAGGGUGAUCGGCCACACUGGGACUGAGACACGGCCCAGACUCCUACGGGAGGCAGCAGUAGGGAAUCUUCGGCAAUGGACGGAAGUCUGACCGAGCAACGCCGCGUGAGUGAAGAAGGUUUUCGGAUCGUAAAGAUCUGUUGUAAGAGAAGAACGAGUGUGAGAGUGGAAAGUUCACACUGUGACGGUAUCUUACCAGAAAGGGACGGCUAACUACGUG